ACUGCAUGUUGUGUCAAUGGCAACAGCAUGGAAGGACAACCCCGCUGCAGCUGAAUCUCUUAGCCAAAACUUCCUGCCUGUGAACAGAGCUGCCUGUACAAGACAGAGGAGAGAGGCAAGAGGAUUCUGUCUGUCCAUCCCACCAUCAACAACAAAAAAAGGAGGCUUAAGCUAGGAGACAAAAAGCAGUCCUACAUUUUAAGGCAGGCAGCAUCUACCCCAAAAGGCUGAACCUGGAGAUAAGCUUUACAUCUUUCAGCAGUGUGAAGGCCACCAGAACUGCACUCAGAGACUGGAAGACAAAUGGGCAGCUGCCUCUGGAGGCAAUUUUGAGUAUUGCCAAUUGCUUUGAAGAAGUCUCUAACCCUAAAUAUCAUGAGCCACAUUGCCCUACAAGCCAGAAGAGAAAUUGGAGACAGAAGUAAAAGACUGACUCCCAGCAUGAUAAAGAGACAGGAGAAUUGAAGGAAAAUCUGCAGGACCCUGCCAGGUGUGGUCUGUGGGACUGAGCAACACAAAUCAGAAGGUCCUGGAGCGCAUCCAUUUUACCACUAACACAGCAGCUUCCUGUUGGGAAGAAGAGAACAAAGUGCAUUAAUCCAGUACCUGAUAGUCCUGGGAUCACUGAAACAAUCACUGAUUGAAGCAAUGUUCUGACAGGCACUUCUGUAAGCUACUUGAAGCAGCUUCAAGACUGAAGACACUAGAAGAGACAACCAUGCCCAUAUUCUAGAGAUAAAACAGUUGGAGCAUCAGUUCUAAACUACCUAAAUCUGGUACAAUUCUUCAAAAAUAAAAUGGAAAAGAUCUUAAAAGGACAU